rnacentral:rRNA from 1 species
UUACGGGUACGGGGAUUAGGGUUCGAUUCCGGAGAGGGAGCCUGAGAAACGGCUACCACAUCCAAGGAAGGCAGCAGGCGCGCAAAUUACCCAAUCCCGAUACGGGGAGGUAGUGACAAUAAAUAACAAUACAGGGCUCUUAUGGGUCUUGUAAUUGGAAUGAGUACAAUUUAAAUCCCUUAACGAGGAACAAUUGGAGGGCAAGUCUGGUGCCAGCAGCCGCGGUAAUUCCAGCUCCAAUAGCGUAUAUUAAAGUUGUUGCAGUUAAAAAGCUCGUAGUUGAAUUUCGGGGUUCUACCGUUGGUCGGGCAAUAGUCUGUACUGGCGUGUAGAAUUUCUACCUUCUGGGGAACCAUCAUGUUAUUUAUUUAGCGUGGUGGGAAACCAGGACCUUUACCUUGAAAAAAUUAGAGUGUUCAAAGCAGGCUUACGUCUGAAUACAUUAGCAUGGAAUAAUAAAAUAGGACGGUGGUCCUGUUUUGUUGGUUUCUGAAUCACCGUAAUGAUUAAUAGGGAUAGUUGGGGGCAUUAGUAUUCAAUUGUCAGAGGUGAAAUUCUUGGAUUUAUUGAAGACUAACUUCUGCGAAAGCAUUUGCCAAGGAUGUUUUUCAUUAAUCAAGAACGAAAGUUAGGGGAUCGAAGACGAUCAGAUACCGUCGUAGUCUUAACCAUAAACUAUGCCGACUAGGGAUCGGACGAUGUUAAUUUUUCUUGACUCGUUCGGCGCCUUACGG